ACUGCAAAAAUCAGCAUAUAUAAAGGAAUAAAGUGUUAAUCAACUUUCUUUUUAUGGUGGACUGAGUAUGGAUUGGUAGUAAAUAUUCAGCUGGAUUUUUCAAUAAUUGCAAAUUGAGGCAUAAACUUGAAAUAACACUAACAAAACACUAACAAGCAUAGCACAUUUCAAUUGUUUAUUGGUUUUGUUAAAGUUUUGAUAUUAUAUACAUGGUAAGGCAAAUGAAAGAACAUGUUUUAAUAUCUCUUCCUAAGAUGGAAACUGGAGAAACUAAUGGAAAACUGAUACAUGCUAUUAUUGUAAUAUUAAAAUUGUCAUUCAAUAAUAGAUAUUUAAAGAUUGAUCCAUUGUUGCUAAUUGAGACUAGUCUGUGCAUAUUUUAGAAACUAUCCCUUAUUAAACCCAUCCUAUGCAUUCAAUUUGGAUAAAGAUGAUUGUGAAAAGCAAUAAGAAGCUGAAAUAUUUGUGUAGAUUUUCUUAAAUUCUGAUUUUACUUUUGCAGUCAUAUUUCCUUUUGAUAUUCAGAGACUUGCCCUUAAUGCAAAUUAGGAAAGAGAAGUUUAUCCUAUAAAGAGAAACGCAAUCCUAUAUGCUUCAUGGACUCGCUUCAAUUUUGUCUAUGACUUGAGAACAACAGCAUUACUUUGAUAUGCAGUUUUGGCACAUGCAAUUCACUGGAGAUGGUACUGAAGAUUCUGAGCUUGAAAUGCUAAAUUCCCCCUCUUUAGGAGAGGUGGGACGCAGAUCACUUCCUUUAGGCAUUUUUCCUGCUCUCAACUUUUGCUGAGAGGUGAUUCUGACAGCAUGCCUCUUGGAAGGUAAUUGUUGAAUCACAUAGAUACAUCUACUACAAGGGAUGAAGACUCAGAAGAAAUUCCUAGGGGAAAACUUGUUGUCUUGUCUUCCCUUGAGUAGUAUGUUUGUUUGAUGCAAAGUGAAGCUUAUUUAGACACCCACACAGAUUUUCCCUCUAAAGCUAGACAGGUAAAAAAAAUUAUAGUAUAAUUCUGCAACUCAUCAUUAAAAAAAAUUGUCAUUUUCUAUUUGAGAAAUAGAAAGAAAUUAAGAAAAUGAGGUAUUGACUACUAUUCUCUCAUGCAAAUUUUCACCUUCAAUACAUGGAUACUAAGGUCAUUCCAUCAGUAUUUCUCUCCAAAUCCUAAAAUGGAAGG